rnacentral:rRNA from 1 species
GACGAACGCUGGCGGCGUGCCUAAUACAUGCAGGUAGAACGCACAGUUUAUACCGUAGCUUGCUACACCAUAGACUGUGAGUUGCGAACGGGUGAGUAACGCGUAGGUAACCUGCCUGGUAGCGGGGGAUAACUAUUGGAAACGAUAGCUAAUACCGCAUAAUAUUGAUUAUUGCAUGAUAAUUGAUUGAAAGAUGCUAUUGCAUCACUACCAGAUGGACCUGCGUUGUAUUAGCUAGUAGGUGAGGUAACGGCUCACCUAGGCGACGAUACAUAGCCGACCUGAGAGGGUGAUCGGCCACACUGGGACUGAGACACGGCCCAGACUCCUACGGGAGGCAGCAGUAGGGAAUCUUCGGCAAUGGACGAAAGUCUGACCGAGCAACGCCGCGUGAGUGAAGAAGGUUUUCGGAUCGUAAAGCUCUGUUGUAAGAGAAGAACGGGUGUGAGAGUGGAAAGUUCACACUGUGACGGUAUCUUACCAGAAAGGGACGGCUAACUACGUG